rnacentral:rRNA from 1 species
ACAGCAGUCGCCGCGGUAAUACAGAGGGUGCGAGCGUUAAUCGGAUUUACUGGGCGUAAAGCGUGCGUAGGCGGCUUUUUAAGUCGGAUGUGAAAUCCCUGAGCUUAACUUAGGAAUUGCAUUCGAUACUGGGAAGCUAGAGUAUGGGAGAGGAUGGUAGAAUUCCAGGUGUAGCGGUGAAAUGCGUAGAGAUCUGGAGGAAUACCGAUGGCGAAGGCAGCCAUCUGGCCUAAUACUGACGCUGAGGUACGAAAGCAUGGGGAGCAAACAGGAUUAGAGACCCCGGUAGUCCCUGUCUCUUAUAC